CGAUUCUCUAGAAUUCGACAUCAACAUGGUGGCGCAGAUGGCGGGAAAUUCUGGUGAAAUAUCCUGUAUGGAAGAUUGCAGAGCAGAGGGAGAGUGCGGAAACCCAGAACAGAAGGCAUUGCCAUCCAGGGCCAGCAAGGGGCACAUCUCCUCCCUGAAGAGCUGCUCACCGAGGCUUUCAUCCUGAGUGACCUCUUUGACAUCGGGGAGCUGGCACUCCUGGAGCUGCUGCUGGCAGGUGAGAACCAACACCACCACUUCCCAGGUCUGAGUUGGGGGCUGGUUGCAGUGCGGCUCUACUGGGAUGGAAAGCUUUGUGUGGCCAACUCCCUGCGCUCGCUCAUCCAGUGCCUCCACUGCAAGACCUUCACCUUGGAACUAAGUGAGGAACUGUUGGCCCUCACCACACAUUUCACAGUUGAGCUGAUGAGCCAGGGCCUGACGACGUGCCUACUGAGGCUGGUAUCAGAGAUCAAUGUGAUGCGGGAGUUUGAGCGCCUUCAGUAAGAGCGUGGCCUGGGAAACGAGAAACAUAGGAAAGAUGUGAGAGGAAGCACUUCUCAGUGUAAUUGUAUCAUCUACAGAAGACGUUUUGCCCUUCACACAUUCUCUUUCUUUACCAGGUAUCUGACCUCAUCAAAGUGUGCCGACAGGAUCUGGCAGAUUGCCUGUUUGCAUGGACCUGCCAAUCACCACUGGGUAAAGAUGACACCCUAGCCCUUAUUGGCCACCUGAAGACCAUGACAUCGGAAGCUGAUGGCUCAUUGGACAGAGUGAACCUGGCUCUAGUCAUGGCACUGCUUUACUGUUUGGAUGUCAGCUUCCUAGAACAAAGAACAGAAGACAGAGAAGAUCGGAGAGUUCUCUAGCAAGGACCCGUUUGGGCUGGAGCUGGCUCUGGAGUUCUGGUGCCCCACUGAGUUUCUCCAGGGUUCCUACCCGGGCAUGGCCAUGCAGAGGCCUCCACACUACCAGGUACCUGUAUCACAGCAGCACCAAUCCAGAGGCGGCCUUCCAGAGCACUAAGAUUCUCUGACGCAUCGCCCGCUACCCCAACAUCCACAACUGGCUGGUGGGAGACUUCACACAUGACCAGGCUAGUCACUCGAACCCACUACCACUCCUUUCAUUCGCCGCCUGCCAGACUUUCAGCUGGCUAAGAAGGAGGUGAGGAUCCGCCACGAGACCCAGAUCCUGAACCUUCUGAUCACUUCCCUGGAGCUAAAGGCCCCCAACCUGGCCCUCUACCUGCUGGACUACGAGGUCAAGAAGCCCAUCUCCUCCACCAACCUGCAGGCUUGGGGAGUGGCUAGAGUCGAGUCAUGCGUCCUCCGAAACAUGACCCACCUAACUGCACUUCUUAACACCUGCUUGCUUAAUCCGGAAGCCAGUUACACCAAUGUGUCGGAGGAAACACCGCUCAACUGAUGACCGAAGUCAGCCUGCAGGCACCCGGCCCGCCACAGGGAGUCACAAGAGCGCGAUGAGCCAAGUAAGCGCGAUGAGCCAAGCAUCCCCUAACCCGGAUGAUGUUGGCUCAAUUGUGCGCCGCCCUAUGGGACUCCCGGUCACGGCUGGUAAUGACACAGCCUGGGAUCGAACCCCAGGCUGUAGUGACACUGCCACACUGAUGCAAUGCCUUAGACCGCUGUGCCA